CCCGCCAGCCCCGCGCUCUACCAGGCAGAGCGCGUGUGGCCGCCGAGCACAUGGACCCACUGGUCAAGCGGGCUCGGCAAGGCCAGGAUGAAGAGAAGCUACGAACUUAGCAUUCCCAGAGCCCCCCGAGUGGAUAUCCGCGUGGAAAGGAUGUUGGCAGCCCCGGUGACCUCGGAGUCACGGCUGGAUCCACCCUCUUAGAGCCGAGUUCUGUCACCACAGACAUUGGCAGUGGCACUUGCAUGCCCCUGGCAAGCAGUCUAUCCUGAGGUGGAGGAAGUUGCCCUUGAGUUCUGGCUGGUAACCAGCACAGUAUACCCUUUAAGCGUUCCAGAAGGAUUUUGAGAUCCUUUCCUAAAUCAAAGGUGGAAUAUUUGGGGAUUUGGAAAAUUGAGGCUUCAGAGAAAUCAGGAGCGGUGAAUGAUCGAAAUGGACCUUUGAGAUUACAGUGUGGAGCUGACAUUGCCAGUUAAGCCUGGGCAGAUCUGACUUAAUUGAUUUAGUUGUUGGAGCAGAGACAACCCAGAGGCUUGGAUCAGCCUCCCCAUCUGACAGUGUGCUGAUGUGAAGCGUUGACUUAAGAGAUGCCAAGUAACUCAGCAGAUGUCACACAGACGAUAAAUAGCAAAGAUGGAAGUCUUCAUGCCGGAGGCAAUCCUAUAAGACAGCUGAGUUCUGCAGAGCUGGUAGGAGACAGACUUGCUCAGGUGAUAGAUCCAGCCAUGAUACUGACCCUAAGAGAAUGAGACGCUCUGCAGAAGACAGAAGAUUCCUGAAACUGGGAAAGGUGCCUAGAAAUCCUGAUAAGAGUGAAGAAGGAGCUGGCAGAGCAGCCUUCCUCCGCACUAUGAAAGACAUCCAACAGAGAGCAAGUUCCCACCUCACUUCCAGCUUGACUCCUUUUUAUCUCCUAACUGUGGUCUGUGAUGUCUUCAGCAAUGGUAUUAACUAGUUCUGGGUACCUGGAGGCACAGCAGCCAUGUUGAACCUAUGAGGUGAUGAAAAACCAUGCAACUAGAAACCAGAAUGGAAGAAAAGAAGAAGCUGGAUCCUUGACUGAAUUGUCGAUGGGGGAUAGUCCAUCAUCCCAGGGCUAAGACCACCUCCAGAUUUCUUGUUUGGUGAAACAAGUCCUGAUUGUUUACAUUCCCUCGUGUUGAGCUGUCUCUUGCUUGUAGCUGAAAGCAUUUCUAAUAGAUAUUCAGAUUAUCAGCCUUAGCUCCAAGCUAGAAUACUCUAUGGGACCUUAGCUUCUCCAUGAAUUCCUUUGCUCAUCUGUGUAAUGCUCAAUAAAUGUAAAUUGAACCCUGAA
rnacentral:lncRNA from 1 species